rnacentral:rRNA from 1 species
CACGUAGGGGCCAAGCGUUGUCCGGAUUUAUUGGGCGUAAAGAGCUCGUAGGCGGCUCGGUAAGUCGGGUGUGAAACCUCCAGGCUCAACCUGGAGACGCCACCUGAUACUGCUGUGGCUAGAGUCCGGUAGGGGAGCGUGGAAUUCCUGGUGUAGCGGUGAAAUGCGCAGAUAUCAGGAAGAACACCUAUGGCGAAGGCAGCUCUCUGGGACGGUACUGACGCUGAGACGCGAAAGCGUGGGGAGCGAACAGG